UACGUAGGGGGGCAAGCGUUUGUCCGGAUUUAUUGGGCGUAAAGAGCUCGUAGGUGGUUUGGUAAGUCGGAUGUGAAAUCUCCAGGCUCAACCUGGAGGGGUCAUUCGAUACUGCCAUACUAGAGGUCGGUAGGGGAGUGUGGAAUUCCUGGUGGAGCGGUGAAUGCGCAGAUAUCAGGAGGAACACCCGUAGCGAAGGCGGCACUCUGGGCC
rnacentral:rRNA from 1 species